UACGAAGGGGACUAGCGUUGUUCGGAAUCACUGGGCGUAAAGCGCACGUAGGCGGAUUUGUAAGUCAGGGGUGUAAUCCCGGGGCUCAACCUCGGAACUGCCUUUGAUACUGCGAAUCUUGAGUCCGAUAGAGGUGGGUGGAAUUCCUAGUGUAGAGGUGAAAUUCGUAGAUAUUAGGAAGAACACCGGUGGCGAAGGCGGCCCACUGGAUCGGUACUGACGCUGAGGUGCGAAAGCGUGGGGAGCAAACAGC
rnacentral:rRNA from 1 species